CUUGUGACUCCCAGUCAGUUUUAUCUUUCCCUCUGGACGGAAAGCGGAAAUGGAAUAAUGAAGUCUUCUGGGAGCUGUAGUGCUUUCUUCUCUUCUGAGAAGGGUACCCGGAACUGUCAACAAUCUGUGGAACUGGAGCAUUAACGCUUUAACUCCCAGUGCACUAUACGAUGUUAUGUUGUAGAAUACCAAUAACAAAAAUCAUAAAGCCAUGACACAUCCUGGAGGCUUCUCCACUCCAAACUGAAUGAGUCCAGCUCUAUCAACCCUUCUUAGAAGAAGUGCUCUUGUCUUGCUCAAAAAGUUUCUAUUCAAUUGUUCUGAAUUAGGCAGUUGCCUUCUUGCAGGUUGAUUGAAUUCUGUUUGACAAUUUGUCCCGUGCUAGAUAUGUAAAUGAAACGAUCUUCUGACCGAUUUAAAUUCCCUAUGAUAUAGCAAAGUAGCUAAUUAAAGAAACAUCAGUUUUCUAGUGCUCUGAUCAAUCUUCAUACCUGUAAAAUACAUAUUGCCUGGCUUUGUUGACUUCCUAUGCAAAUGCAAAUCUCAUUAGAGCCAGUGGAGCAGCAAAAAUGAGGUUACUUCUUUCUUAAAUUCAGACCUGAAGUCUAGGAAAAUCACUAUGAACUGCUACCCUGAAGCUUCAUAAAAGCCUGAUUCCUUAGAUCUGGUGGCAGAUAUGUGCGAAUGUACUCAUUACAAAUAUAGGAACUAGAAUUCAUCAUUUGGGUAUUACGAGGGGUAAAAGCUGGUGUUGGAUAUGGGUUUCUGUAUUAAAAAAGAAGAAAAAAUCUUUAAUGUGCUUAAUUUUCUGUGCAGCAACAUGCAAUUAAUAAAAUAUUCUCAAACAGAUUGUAUACUGUCAGGAGAAAAGGAAUAACAGAAAACGGGUCACAGAGCAGAACUUAAGAAAGGGAGGAAAAAUUGGAUACUGGAACAAAUCCUUGGGAGUUGUUCUGAGUUAAGCAUGUCAUGUUGUCUUUUAACUAGGUUUGCCAAGCCCCAUUUUCUGAGGCUCUCCAAAGUUACCAACAUUCAGAAUAUAAGACACUGUGUUUAAAACAAACAAACACAUUUUAUUCCUUAGUGCUUCUCCCGAUACACAGCCAGAAAAUUUAACUGUGCUUAAGAAGGUGCUUAAGCAUGAAUACAAAUUAUCUGUGUAUCUAUCUGUGACAGGUAACUCAGUAAAAAGCAGAUUUUACACAGGCCCAUUGAAAUUCCAAGUUCUUAGCUGGUGGGAAGGUAGGGCAAUUUGCUGUUGUGUGUUGCUUGGGGGAUACAGUUGACUGAAACACGACUCCUUACAUGACCAAGACUGGACUAAUAGGUCUGCUUGUUUCUCAUCCUAACAAAGACAUAGUAAGUAGCUACAUGCAUUUCAUCUAGGAUAGAGUUAACUAGUUAACUUUCUUCCUAGUAGCCCACAUGGUGCAUGUCAUGUACUUAGGAUGAGAAUAAAGUUGAUAGCAAACUAAUGUUUUAAUUGUUACUGAGCAGUGUUUAAAGUGAGUGCUUAGGGACUGAUAUCAAUUGUUGGGUGGUGAGCAAUUUAAUUCAGCAUCAAUUGUAUAUUCUUUCAUCCUUUUCGUUAUUAUUAUCAUUCCUUCAUAUCAUUGUCCUAUUAUACUGUUUCUGUAUUUUUCUCAGUCUCACAAGAAGAGAGUGAAUGGCUAUAUGGUACUGAGGUGCCUACUGCUUUACAGCAACAGCAAAGAAAAAAAUACUAGUACAGAAGAAGAAUAAUUUGUUGCCGUUGCAUUAUUACCAAAGAAAAAAUAAGUGAACAAAGCAAGAAAAAUUUGAGUGGAAAUAAUAUGAUUACUGAUUGAUACUGAUACUGAUUCUUGUAAAAUAAGACUGUGUUAUGACUUACUAAAAGGACAUACAAGCCUGUCCGAAGAUUAGAAAGUCAUUUUUUCAAUGUGAGGGUGCCUGAGGAUGUGAUGAAUUAAUUGCCCAGAGCGACUGUGCAGACUUCCACCUUGGCAAUAGUCUAAAGCAUGUCCCCCACCAGCUGCUCCCUUGCUCAUGUGCACAGCAGCUCCAUGCAGAGGCAGGAGUUCCUCACCCCUUUCUUCCCCUCAGGGCCCAGCUCCAAGUGGAAGCCAUGUCCUGGGAGUGCCUUCAGGGGCACAAGCAUGUGGAAGACAUUCUAACUCCCUUCAAGACUGCUGCCUUCAAAGCCAAUGCCCACCCCAAUGGCUGGCUGCAGCUGUGGUGUGAAGUAACUGUGGGGAACUGUCUGACAGGUGCUCAGAAGUUCAUCCAUCAGCUCCUCCAACACCUUGCACAUGGCUGGCCUGGUCUUCAGUGGCCAAAUGGAGAAGAGCAGGUAAAACUUGCUCCUGUAUGUGAUGUCACUGAGGUCUCCGUCGUGCACCAGCUCCUUGUUCUCCCUGUCAAGGUUUCUCCAUAUUUCAUAUAUAAAUUAGGCUCAUUUCAUAUAUAAAUGAGGCUCAUUGGAGCCUCAUUUUCUCUUGCCUUUCCCUGUACCACUGGAGGAAGAACUGAAAGAGCAGCAGUGCAGCCAAGGACCAAAUUGUCCAGGACAGCUGUGCAGCGAAGGGCAAGGGUCACAUGUCUGUCCUGCUCUGCUCCAUCCUGUUCUGCUCUACCUCCUGCAGCAGCUUUGUCAUCUGCUCUGGCAGAUACACCUCACGCUGCUGCAUGCAGUCGAGCAUGACUGCAUCCAACCAGUUGCCAACACAUUUCGGUCUCUGUGCCAACAAGGUGAAGACAAACACCAAAGCCAUGAUCUGGAAGAGGUGAGAGAGUGGAGGUGAGUGGGGCUGGGUGGGAGGUUGCGCGUGGCUGGGGGAGCGGGGCCAGGAGCCACAGCCCCUGGGGUCAGGUAGGAGCGGGGGCGAGGGAGCUGGGAGGCAGCAGGGGCUGAGGCCACGCUGGUGGUGACUGCCCAGAGAGCCGCUCACAGGGUCCCCUGGGCGCUGGGCCAUCACUGCAGGCUCCCAAACCCCUUGCGGGCUGGUGUUUGCACCUGGCCCAGCCCAGCCUUCCCCCUGCUGCUGCACUCACGGAUGGCCAGAGCCAAAAUGGAGCAGCGCUGUGUGCUGAUGGCCCCAAUACCAGCCCCAUAAUCUCCAUGCCACUUUUAUAAGGAGUGUUGGCCUAACAGCAGCUUUGGAGCAGAACUGUUGCACUCAAAACUGCGUUUUGGUCAUCUCCAUUGGAAAUCCUUGAUUAUAUAGAGGCAAAGACUUGGUAGCUGUUCAACAAUCAUCACAUCAAAACAACUGGGAUUUUCAGAGUGCUUUAGAAGACCUUACUUUUUACCGUUUGCAGGGAGAUGUUUGCAGAAUGCAGACAGUUCUUCCAUGCUGUGCGAAGCUACUAGAGCUCUUCUCAAUCUUGUAAUGUCUGGAAACCCAAGAUAAAAUGGAGAUUGGAUGUUUCUCUGUAUCUUCCACACCAGCUGUUUUCUGUUUGUGUCCAAAUUUUCUCAUCGCUGAAAUUUGUUUUUCAAUAAAUGGCCACAACAACAUUAACAGUGCAUUGUGCAGUAGACUUUGUGUGUUCAGACAGCUGAGGCUCAUCAGGGUUUUGGUAUAUGAGAGCAAGAAACAAGGUAUUUGAGUGAGAUCUUCCAUGUUAUUUUUUUCAUUUGAAUGCAUCCAUAAUAUUCUCUUAGUUGUGAGCAUCCCUCCAUAUUCAAAGAGCAAGCUCAGAUCUACACUUCCCUCUCAGGCUUGUCUCUCCAAGCUCCACUGAUCAAGGAUGAGGAUGGUAGGUAGUGUGGGGAACAAGGAAGAACGUCUGUAGCCGAGUGGGUUCAUGAAGACAGUGCAAACUGCUUAUCCUUGUACAUCCCAACAGGUUUGUACCACAAAAUCAGUCUUGCCAGUAACCCACACUGAAGCACUUUCAUCAAAGUAACUGAUUUCCACUCCAGGAUGCUCCAGGUUUUCAGGGCUCUUCAGUCAUUUCCCUUCACAAGUUGUUUACCCUUUUUCAACCUGUUAUCAGAGAGGGUUAUUCUGGACUGAAUUUUCUCUUACUGUGUUUUCUAAGAAUCCUCAACUGCUGACAGCUCCGGUCACAGCAGCCUGAUCACGUGCCUGAAGGACUAAGUCAUUGUGCAGCUCUGUGGCCUCCUUGCACUGGCUAUAACCUCGGCCUCUGCCUCCUGGCUGCUCAGGCAGAUAUUCUCAAAAUCUUGCUGCAGCCCAAGCUGCCUCUGUGAGGACAGUUCUCCUGAAGGCAUCCAUCACCUGGAGCUCGUCCUCAGAGCACUGCAGGAAGCACAGCAUGUGUCCCACUAGUAGCUCCCUUGUGCACAUGCACACGCACUGCAGCUCCACAGAGCAGCAGCAGAUCCUUGUUGGCAUCUCCACAGGUGAGAGAAGGGGAUUCCAUUUGCACAGCUCCAGCAACCUCACAAAGAAGCUAUAUGGGAGCUGGAGCCGUGACCAUGGGGCCUACCGCUGCCCCUGGGGCACCGCGGCCGCAUCUCCGUGGGGCCGACCGCUUUGUUUCUGAGGAGCCCUGGGCACGGCCUUAGCGCUCGGCCACACCGCCCCGUCGUGCCUGGAGAUCAGCGUUGCAUCCAGGCCGGGGGCAGUGACUCUGCUGGGGGAAAGAAGGGCUGGAUGGCGGGGAGCAGUGUACGUGACAGACCGCAACGGCUGUUGGUGGGACAGCAGUGUACGUGACAGACCCUAACGGCUGUCGGUGGGACAGCAACGUACCUGACAGAACCCAGCGGCUGUCGGUGGAACAGCAGUGUACCUGACGGAUCCUGUGGCUGUCGGUGGGUCAGUAAUGUGCCUGACAGAACCCAGCGGCUGUCGGUGAGCCAGCAAUGUACCUGACAGACCCUAACGGCUGUCACUGGGACAGCAGUGUACCUGACAGAAACGAAUGGCUUCUCCACCUGGGAUCCCACGGGCCCUGUAGGCCCCAGCCACUGGCCUGUGGGCAGCUGAUGAGAGUGCUGUGUGCCCUGAUGCAGGUAGGCCCAAAGGCCAGGCUGGAGGAGCAGCGUUCCCUUGGAGCGCCGGCAGGAGCUGGUGCAGCUCAGGAUCAGCUGCAGGGCAUGUCACAGGGCUGGGUUGGAUCCAGAGGCAUUUUUUUCCUUUGAAGAUUCUGGAUCUUGUUGAAUAGUGUUGGAUUGGUGUAGGCACACCACAGCAAGCUGUAACUCUGUGGUGCUGCUAGGGUCAGGGCACACUUUUUUAAAGCUUUCUGUCUGCUUCCAUACUUGUUCACGAGUGAGUUCCAGACCUGCUGGAGGUGACAAUCGUGACUGAUAGCUGCCCAGAGCCUCCCGCACGCCUUGCCUCCCAAAGCCAUCCUGCCCCACUGGAGAUCUUUGGGUGCCUUUUUUUAAACAGUUUCUUAACCAUGAUUAAAACCUGAAACACAUGCAGAAGACAGUGUCAGGUGGCAAACAGGGUGUCGGUCAUUUUGUAGCCACCUUCCAGAACAGGGACAUGGAGCUGCAGACGUUCAUGGUGGAAGCUAUUGUGCCAUGCAUGCCUGGCUGUUUUGCAAAGAAGUACGUCUCUGCUGCAGUGCAUCUCUGUGGCCUCCUUGUGUCACUGAUGACGACGUUCUCUGCCUACUCAAAGGUCAUGAACGUGUCUGGGUCCUCUUGCUGUACCCCAAGCAUGAGCUCAAUCGAGAGGACUCUGCUGGAGGUGGCAGUCAGCUUGAGCUUGCAGAAGCAGGUGGAGAGCAGCAACUCGAGCUCUGUUAUUGCCAAUUGAGGCAUAGCCACCUAAGCUUCUCUCACCAGUUCCUGGAACCAGGUUGCAGUUUUUGCUAUAUCCAGGUAGGAAUCUGUGCAGAGGGUUUGUAGGAGGCUGGGCAUCUGCUUUGUCCUCAGCUGGUCCUCAGGGUGGUGGAGGAAGCACAGCAUGACCCCCACCAGCUGCUCCCUUGUGCACGUGCACUACAGCUCUACGCAGAGGCACGAGUUCCUCACCUCUUUCUUCCCCUUGGGGCCCAGCUCCAAGUGGAAGCCAUGUCCCAGGGGUGCCUUCAGGGGCACGAGCAUGCGGUAGACAGGACUGCUACCUUCAAGGCCAACGCCCACCCCAAUGGCUGGCUGCAGCCAUGGCAUGAAGUAACUGUGGGGAACUGUCUGACAGGUGCUCAGAAGUUCAUCCAUCAGCUCCUCCAGCAUCUUGCACGUGGCUUGCCUGGUCUUCAGUGGCCAAAAGGAGAACUGCAGGUAAAACCUGCUCCUUUAUGUAAUGACAUUGAGGUCUCCGUCGUGCAGCAGCACCUCAUUCUCCUUGUCAAGGUUUCUCCACAUCUCACAUAUACGUUGGAGCCUCCUUUUCUCUUGCCUUUCCCUGUACCACUGGAGGACGAGCCGGAAGAGCAGGAAAAGCAGCAGUGCAGCUAAGGACCAAAUUGUCCUGGACAGCUGUGCAGAGAAGUGCAAGGGUCACAUCCUAUUCUGCUGUACCUCCUGCAGCAGCUUUGUCAUCUGCUCUUGCAGAUACACCUCACACUGCUGCAUGUGGUCAAGUGUGGCCGCAUCCAGCUCAUCACCAACACAUGGCACUCUCUGUGCCAACAAGGUGAAGACAAACACCAAAGCCAUGAUCUGGAAGAGGUGAGAGAGUGGAGUUAGAAGAUGACCAAAGAUAACACCGUGAGUUCAAUAAACUUCAGAAUCCUGAAGAAGUUAGAAUCUUUCAACUCUGUUCAGGUGACAUCUAGAAGCUGGUUUGUCUGAGUAGAUACUGGAGUAGACCUCUGAUGAAGGCCACAGCAGAACUGAGAAGCAGUUUCCUGAUCCAUCUCUGAGACAAAACAAGAUUAUUGUCACUUGGGUGAUUGACCUUCUGCUUUAUGGCUAGCCACUGACUGUGAACACAGAGAAUCUUCUUUAGAGGUGUCUCCAGGCAGAAGAGCUCCAUAAGGAGAACAGAUGCCCCCCCUGCUGCAGAAAUGGGCAUCUAGAAGAGAUGGAAGCCAGAGAUGGACCCCAAAUACCUUUCUUUGGCAGAAGGCACUGCUCAGCUGUUUACGUCCAUUGGAAGAGCUCCCUGUGGUCUGCAGAGAUAACCAGCAAGCAGUAAGAUCAGCGCUUAGGACCAAUGUGUGGCAAGCAUCCUUCAAAAGCUAAGCCAUUUAAGAUCAUCACUUUUAGGGACUAAGUCUGGCACUGGAUGUCAAGGAAGAGAAUGUGGAGUGACUAAGUAAACACAUGAACUGCUAGGAUGGCAGCAGAAAGGCACUAUAUUGGCCUUUGACAUGGAAAGGUGGACAUUUGAUUAUAUCCAGCUUGCAGUUCUUGCCAGCAGUGCAAGGGCCGGAAGAAGAACUAGUGUGGAAGAAGUAUUCACCAAUGGAAGAAUGAGGCACUAUUGCUUUUUGGAUAUCUGCUGAAUGACAGAUUCAAGAAGCAGUCUGGCUCAAGAUCCAGUCUUUUGUUUUACAAGGAGCUCCAUUACUGGAUCUCUUAAGGCUCGCAGUCUACAUAUAAGUUUACUUCUUGAAGAGUGUCUGGGAACUGCUGAGUCAUGGCCUGAACCACUGAUUUAGCACCUGGUGGAAAGACACAGUCAGCCCUGGGAGCACAGGUGAAGGCAAUUCAUCUGACAGGAAGGCCUGGCUCCACCCCUCUUAGGCCUCAUUUAAGGGCUCUUAGGCCUCAUUUAGGGCCUGACUGCCACUGAGGAAGGAUCUCUUUCAAGUGAUUCGUCCUUGGUAGAGCUUUUCCCUGCUAAUCGAGAUCUUUGGAGAUAGAAGAAGCUGCAGCAAUAAUACAUAACAUCAGAAAGGAGAAACUCCACGGAACAUCAAUAGAACAUUACUCAGGCUUUUUUUUAAGAGAACCAGAAGACUGAUGACUCUGUGCUGAUGUAGAAUUGAGUUACAAUCACUGAUAUCAAUCAUUUCCACACCAAGGCAUGAAGUACCUAUAACCACAGGGAAGACAGAGAGGUGAGCACCUGCACACACUCAUUCGGCAGAUUUAUUUCA